rnacentral:rRNA from 1 species
GAUGAACGCUGGCGGCGUGCUUAACACAUGCAAGUCGAACGGAACUCUUUGGAUCAAGGCUUCGGCCAAGUGAAUUUGAGUUUAGUGGCGGACGGGUGAGUAACGCGUGAGGAACCUGCCUUUCAGAGGGGGACAACAGUUGGAAACGACUGCUAAUACCGCAUAACGCAUAUUGAUCGCAUGGUCGAUAUGCCAAAGAUUUAUCGCUGAAAGAUGGCCUCGCGUCUGAUUAGCUAGUUGGUGAGGUAACGGCCCACCAAGGCGACGAUCAGUAGCCGGACUGAGAGGUUGAACGGCCACAUUGGGACUGAGAUACGGCCCAGACUCCUACGGGAGGCAGCAGUGGGGAAUAUUGGGCAAUGGGGGAAACCCUGACCCAGCAACGCCGCGUGAAAGGAAGAAGGCUUUCGGGUUGUAAACUUCUUUUACCAGGGACGAAGACGUGACGGUACCUGGAGAAAAAGCCACGGCUAACUACGUG